rnacentral:rRNA from 1 species
CAGCCGCCGCGGGAAUACGUAGGGUGCAAGCGUUAAUCGGAAUUACUGGGCGUAAAGCGUGCGCAGGCGGUUAUAUAAGACAGAUGUGAAAUCCCCGGGCUCAACCUGGGAACUUCAUUUGUGACUGUAUAGCUAGAGUACGGCAGAGGGGGAUGGAAUUCCGCGUGUAGCAGUGAAAUGCGUAGAUAUGCGGAGGAACACCGAUGGCGAAGGCAAUCCCCUGGGCCUGUACUGACGCUCAUGCACGAAAGCGUGGGGAGCAAACAGGAUUAGAUACCCGCGUAGUCCCUGUCUCUUAUAC